CACGUAGGAGGCGAGCGUUGUCCGGAAUCAUUGGGCGUAAAGAGCGCGCAGGCGGCUUGGCAAGUCGGGUGUGAAAUCCCGGGGCUCAACCCCGUGACUGCAUCCGAUACUGUCAGGCUAGAGGUAGGUAGGGGAGAUCGGAAUUCCUGGUGUAGCGGUGAAAUGCGCAGAGUAUCAGGAGGAACACCGGUGGCGGAAGGCGGGUCUCUGGGCCGAUACUGACGCUGAGGAGCGAAAGCGUGGGAGCGAACAGG
rnacentral:rRNA from 1 species